ACCCCAUAUGCCUCCGGGUGAAAAGUAAUUCGCCUGAAGAUGAGCUCGCGUCAGAUUAGCUAGUUGGUGGGGUAAGAGCCUACCAAGGCGACGAUCUGUAGCUGGUCUGAGAGGAUGAUCAGCCACACUGGGACUGAGACACGGCCCAGACUCCUACGGGAGGCAGCAGUGGGGAAUUUUCCGCAAUGGGCGCAAGCCUGACGGAGCAAGACCGCGUGGGGGAUGACGGCCUAAUGGUUGUAAACCCCUUUUCUCUGGGAAGAAGACUGACGGUACCAGAGGAAUCAGCCUCGGCUAACUCCGUGCCAGCAGCCGCGGUAAUACGGAGGAGGCAAGCGUUAUCCGGAAUUAUUGGGCGUAAAGCGUCCGUAGGUGGUUAUUCAAGUCUGCUGUCAAAGCGUGGGGCUUAACUCCAUGGAGGCAGUGGAAACUGAGUGACUAGAGUGCGGUAGGGGUCGAGGGAAUUCCCAGUGUAGCGGUGAAAUGCGUAGAUAUUGGGAAGAACACCAGUGGCGAAAGCGCUCGACUGGGCCUGCACUGACACUGAGGGACGAAAGCUAGGGGAGCGAAAGGGAUUAGAUACCCCUGUAGUCCUAGCCGGUAAACGAUGGAUACUAAGGUGUUGCUCGUCAUCGACCCGGGCAAGUGCCGUUUCCUACCCGCUUAAGUAUCCCGCCCUGGGGAGUACAGCUCGCAAGUCGUGUAACUCUAAAGGUAUUACAGGGGGGCCCGCACAAGCGCCUGGAGAUAUGUGGUUUAUAUUUCGAUGUAACGCGAAGAACCUUCACAGGGGCUUGAAAUGUCCGGGAACAUUGCCGAGAGUUGAGGGUGCCUUCGGGACCCGGAAAACACGUUGUUAAAUGGCUGUCGUCAGCUCUGUGUCAUGAGAUGUUGGGUUAAGUCCCCGCAACGAGCGCAACCCACGUUCUUAGUGGCCAGACUUGAGCUGUCAUCUCUAGGGAGACUGCCGGUGACUAACCGGAGGAAGGUGUGGAUGACGUCAAGUCAGCAUGACCCUUACGUCCUGGGCUACACACGUACUACAAUGCUGUGGACAAAGGGCAGCCAGCCAGCGAUGGUGAGCUAAUCCC
rnacentral:rRNA from 1 species